UGAUUUUUCUACUUUUCAAUUUCUGCUUUCUAUUUUCAAACCACAAAAAAACAUAGAGCCGCAUAACAUAUCUGUAUGCAUGGAAUUUGGGUCUUUCAGAAAUUUAUGUUUCCAAACGAUUUUGCUAGAAAUUUAGGGCUGGGCACUUUUUCUAGCUGUUUCAUUAACGGUUAGUUUCAACUGUUAAAAAAGAAAAAUUUCAGGCGUUAACGGAAAAUUUUCAACAGCCGUAAUGGUCCAGUUUUUACAAGGAUUCCCAAGAAUACUAUGUUUGAACUCAAGAGCAUAUGUGAAGCUGAGAAGAUAAUUAUGUGUCAUUUAACUAGCUGCCUGCUAGUGCUUUCUCUCAAGCAGAACGGACCUACUAUGCAGUCCCAGAAUUGCAGCUGGGGAAGCGCUGAGUUUAGUUACGCAUCUAGUAUCCUACAGGGAAAGCUGGAAGCAUAGAUUAAAACAAACCUUCAUCUUCAGCUUGGUGCACUGAAAGAGGAGUUUAACCCCUCAUGGGAAUACAAGCAAUGCACAAUGAUACCGGUUUUUUUACUCGACCAGAUGUGAGGACUGGACUGCCAUGGAAGAUACCUCUCAAGAAAGCUUUCAAGGAUCACAACUCCCCAUUUUGCAUAUGGGGUGCAGUUAUGGGUAAAUUCCUUAAUUCCCCUGGGAAACAGUAUGAAAU